UGCAAGUCGAACGAUGAACCACUUCGGUGGGGAUUAGUGGCGAACGGGUGAGUAACACGUGGGCAAUCUGCCCUUCACUCUGGGACAAGCCCUGGAAACGGGGUCUAAUACCGGAUAUGAGCCUGGGAGGCAUCUCCCGGGUUGUAAAGCUCCGGCGGUGAAGGAUGAGCCCGCGGCCUAUCAGCUUGUUGGUGAGGUAAUGGCUCACCAAGGCGACGACGGGUAGCCGGCCUGAGAGGGCGACCGGCCACACUGGGACUGAGACACGGCCCAGACUCCUACGGGAGGCAGCAGUGGGGAAUAUUGCACAAUGGGCGAAAGCCUGAUGCAGCGACGCCGCGUGAGGGAUGACGGCCUUCGGGUUGUAAACCUCUUUCAGCAGGGAAGAAGCGAGAGUGACGGUACCUGCAGAAGAAGCGCCGGCUAACUACGUGCCAGCAGCCGCGGUAAUACGUAGGGCGCAAGCGUUGUCCGGAAUUAUUGGGCGUAAAGAGCUCGUAGGCGGCUUGUCGCGUCGAUUGUGAAAGCCCGGGGCUUAACUCCGGGUCUGCAGUCGAUACGGGCUAGCUAGAGUGUGGUAGGGGAGAUCGGAAUUCCUGGUGUAGCGGUGAAAUGCGCAGAUAUCAGGAGGAACACCGGUGGCGAAGGCGGAUCUCUGGGCCAUUACUGACGCUGAGGAGCGA
rnacentral:rRNA from 1 species